rnacentral:rRNA from 1 species
GAUGAACGCUGGCGGCGUGCCUAAUACAUGCAAGUCGAGCGAACAGACGAGGAGCUUGCUCCUCUGACGUUAGCGGCGGACGGGUGAGUAACACGUGGAUAACCUACCUAUAAGACUGGGAUAACUUCGGGAAACCGGAGCUAAUACCGGAUAAUAUAUUGAACCGCAUGGUUCAAUAGUGAAAGACGGUUUUGCUGUCACCUAUAGAUGGAUCCGCGCCGCAUUAGCUAGUUGGUAAGGUAACGGCUUACCAAGGCAACGAUGCGUAGCCGACCUGAGAGGGUGAUCGGCCACACUGGGACUGAGACACGGUCCAGACUCCUACGGGAGGCAGCAGUAGGGAAUCUUCCGCAAUGGGCGAAAGCCUGACGGAGCAACGCCGCGUGAGUGAUGAAGGUCUUCGGAUCGUAAAACUCUGUUAUUAGGGAAGAACAAAUGUGUAAGUAACUAUGCACGUCUUGACGGUACCUAAUCAGAAAGCCACGGCUAACUACGUG